ACGGAGCUGCAGAUGCUGCUGGAGGAGGAAAUCCGGGGGGGGGGGGGGGGGGGGCGCCGGGCCCGCUUCCACGGUUACAGGAACCUGGAGCCGGUGGCCGACUACCGGGAGAACAACUACAUCCAGUCAGCAGACAGGCAGCGAGCCCUAGAAGAAAGCAAAGCCUAUACCACCCAGUCUUUAGCGAGUGUUGCCUACCUGAUAAAUCCUUGGCCAACAAUGUACUGCAAAUGCCGGAUAUCCAGGCAUCCCAGCUACGGAGGAUGGACUCUUCAAUCAAUCAUAUAUCACAAACUGUUGAUAUUCGCAAACAGAAAGUUGCCAGAAGAGAAAUUGGUAUUUUGACUACCGAUAAAAACACUUCCAGGACACAUAAGAUUAUUGCACCAGCCAACCUUGAACGGCCAGUGCGUUAUAUUAGAAAGCCAAUUGACUAUACAAUUUUAGAUGAUAUUCGGCAUGGAGUCAAGGUGAGUACCCAGAAUAUGAAGAUGGGUGGGCUGCCUCGCACAACACCUCCAACUCAGAAGCCCCCCAGCCCCCUUAUGUCAGGGAAAAGGACACUUGGGUGGCACUCCCCCUGUCGCACACUGGAGCCAGUGUGUCCUCCAGUGGAACCCAAUGAUUACGUACCUAGCCCAACCCGUAAUAUGGCUCCCUCGCAGCAGAGCCCUGUGAGGACAGCUUCUGUGAAUCAAAGAAAUCGAACUUACAGCAGCAGUGGGAGCAGUGGAGGAAGCCACCCAAGUAGUCGGAGCAGCAGCCGGGAGAACAGUGGAAGUGCGAGUGUGGGGGUUCCCAUAGCUGUUCCCAUAGCCCUACUCCCUCUCCUCCCAGUGUCUUUCCAGGCCAUCCUGUUCAGUUCUACAGCAUGAACAGACCUGCCUCUCGCCAUACUCCCCCGACAAUAGGAGGCUCGUUACCCUACAGUCGCCCUCCUUCCAUAACUUCACAGACAAGCCUUCAAAAUCAGAUGAAUGGAGGACCAUUUUAUAGCCAGAAUCCAGUUUCAGAUACUCCACCUCCACCACCACCUAUGGAAGAACAAGUCUUUGAUGAGUCACCUCCUCCACCGCCUCCCCCUGAAGACUAUGAAGAGGAGGAAGCAGCUGUGGUUGAAUAUAGUGACCCUUAUGCAGAAGAGGACCCACCUUGGGCCCCAAGGUCUUACUUGGAGAAAGUUGCGGCCAUUUAUGAUUAUACAAAAGACAAAGAAGAUGAGCUGUCCUUUCAGGAAGGAGCCAUUAUUUAUGUCAUCAAGAAGAAUGACAAUGGUUGGUAUGAGGGAGUCAUGAAUGGAGUGACGGGGCUUUUCUUGUCUGAUGUCUGGCAUGUGAAGUCUAUCAUGCACUAUUCUGAAUAAAGCUCAGCAGGGCUGCUUCCCUCACUCAGAGUAGGCAGGUCUUCCCAGAUAAUCAUAAGGCCCUGGGGAUCCCCCCUUGAGUGAAUUGAAGGAUACAAAUGAUAAAAAGUACUUGUGGGUUUCUUGUUUGUUUGUCUGUCUCCCAGUAUUAUACAAAAAAAAAAAAAAGCGCAAGCUGAGUUUGAAUAAA